rnacentral:lncRNA from 1 species
CGCGAGAGUAUGUCAGAGGAUGAAAAUCCCGUGUGCGUGCUAAGAACAGAGAAUGCUGUAGCGGCUGUCAACCGGAAGUGAUAUUGUUGCACUUUGCAGACACAGCAGGUCAGGACCAUCUAUGUGCAGGUACACUCAACCGUGUUGACCUGGCAGGAAGUGGGUGUCAGUCUGAGACUGGUGCUCCUCGCGAACGACUGUGCAAUGCCUCCCAAGAUCAACCUUUCCCUCUCGCCUUGGACAACCACUAUGAAGAGAGCGUGAGCAUGCUGCACCAUACCAACGGAUCCAAGAGCAUCCAGAACAGACCUCCAAUCACCGAGGACCCCAAGGACCCUCUGCUCAGAGAAGAUCAGGAGGAGAUCAGGAAGUUGUGGGCCCUCAUCUUUGGCCAGCUGGGCACUGCUAACAUUUCAGUGAGCUUGUGCUGUGUGACGCAGGCUGCUGAAGAAGAGCUCCGCCCUAAACCUGACCGGCUGUGCUUCAGUCCAACUGGGGAGACUUCUCAGACCAAGGCUGCAGCGGCUGGAUCAGGAGGCGGUGGGAGGAGAGCAGGCCAGGAACAAAGAGACAGAGAGCAGAGAGCGAAAAUGUGCUGUCAAACGAAUACAAUUUUAUCCAGGAAGAAGUCCAUGCAGAAAGUCACAUUCUGGGCAAGGUGGGUUAUUAAUAAUAAGGAUAAUCAUAUUUAUGUAGCGCCUUUCAAGGGACCCGAGGACGUUUUACAUUUCACACAAACACUUUACUUUCUAUUAGGUAAAUCCAUA